GAUGAAGAACGUAGCAAAAUGCGAUACUUGGUGUGAAUUGCAGAAUCCCGUGAACCAUCGAGUUUUUGAACGCAAGUUGCGCCCGAAGCCUUUUGGCCGAGGGCACGUCUGCCUGGGCGUCACGCAUCGCGUCGCCCCCCACAAUUCUCCGUAAAGGGAACAUGUGUUUUGGGGGCGGAUACUGGUCUCCCGUGCUCAUGGCGUGGUUGGCCGAAAUAGGAGUCCUUUCGAUGGACGCACGAACUAGUGGUGGUCGUAAAAACCCUCGUCUUUUGUUUCGUGCUGUUGCUCGCAAGGUAAACUCUUUAAAAACCCCAAUGUGUCGUCUCUUGACGACGCUUCGACCGCGACCCCAGGUCAGGCGGGACUACCCGCUGAGUUUAAGCAUAUCAAUAAGCGGAGGA
rnacentral:misc_RNA from 1 species